rnacentral:lncRNA from 1 species
AGUCUGCCUAUGAAUAUAGUAGUAGCUUGUGCUAUUAAUAUAAGUAGCUAGUGCUACUACAAAUAAUGUAUUUAAAGUGGUAACUCACGGAAUAGAGCUGAGAAUAAGCCAAUAAUCAGAAUUAAACACAGGUUAGGGAAACAUUACCUGAGGUUAUAAAGGUGAAGUUUCACGAAUAACUCAAAAGCAUGGCUAAAACUGUUUAAUGUUUAAAAGCCUAUCUGUCUGUGGAAAUGUAUGUGCACACAAAAAUAGGAUGAAAUGUAUGUAUGCACAUAUAUGCAUAUGUUUAUACAUAUCUUAGGAUUUUUAAGAGAAACAGAACCAAUAGAAUAUAUAUAGAUAUACAAGAGAAGUUUGAUUAUGAGAAUUUAAAGAAAAAAAGAAGAAUCAAAUAGACGCAAUAAAAAAUGAUAAAGGGGAUAUCACCACCGAUCCCACAGAAAUACAAACUACCAUCAGAGAAUACUACAAACACCUCUAUGCAAAUAAACUAAUCCCAAAAAAGAAAUGUUAUAAAAAAGACCUAAAUAAGAAUUAUGGAACAAAAAACAAAAUAAUUAAAAUUUAAAAAAAAAAAAAACCUCACUGGGAGCUCAAUAGUACAGUGGAAAUUAUAGAGGAGAUACCAGGAAUUGCUGUCCUGGAAAAGAGGCCAGAAACUGAGAUCACUGAACAAAAAUAGAACAUUUCUGGCUAGGACACUAAUUACAUAAAAAUACAGAAAAAUGAAACUUCUACUCCUAAAGAAAUUAAUGGAACCUCUGUAAAUUGGAUAUAUUGCCUCAGUGUGCCACAUCUCAUCAAACCUUUCGCCAUCUUGUCAUCCCUGAGUGGCCCAUUGCUAUCCUUCAUCCCCUGGACUGAUUGCCGUAGUUCUGAGUUUAUUAUGCUUAAAAGAGAGGCGUAGAUCUUUUCAAUUCCUUAGCACAUUCUGUGUCACCUUGGAAACUAAAUGUGUGUAUCAGAAACCCCACUCUCCAAUCUCCAGCUCAUCAGAUGCUGCAGCCCUGCUCCGAUUACAAUACCCAUCCCCAAGUGACUGUCUAACACACAGAUGAGUCCACAGCAUAAGGAGGAUAAUUAUUACCUUUAAGAUAUUUUAAGUUAUUAAGCUCUUAUUAUAAUUAACUAUAGAGAACUCUCUAAGCUGGCAAGGCCAGGGAAUGGAGGUAUUCUGGCUACUGGUUCAAUUGAAAUAAAGAAAAAGAAAAGAGAAGGGGCUGUCUGCAAAGAGUCAGGGGCUGGAGGGAAGUUUUAUAAGGUCAUGCUGGAAGGGACGAUGAGCAAGUGAGUUUGUGUUGUUUGCUAAGAAUAUGUUGGGGUAAUGUUUAACUGCCAGUCCUUUUCUCUCAAGGUGCCCAAAAGAAAUGCUCUGCUGUUCUUAGCAACCUGCCUGCCUUCCAUUUCUGGAGUUGCAACAUAGUGGCUGUGGUUUUUUUUCCACACAAAAGGGAUGCAAACCAGUAGCUUUUAAAAAAACUAUUUGUUUUAUUUCUCUGUCUGUCUUUCCUUCCUUCUUUCUCCUUUCUUCUCUUUUUUUUUUUUUGCUUUUUUUUUUUUUUUGAGACGGAGUCUCGCUGUGUCGCCCAGGCUGGAGUGCAGUGGCGUGAUCUUGGCUCACUGAAAGCUCUGCCUCCCGGGUUCACGCCAUUCUCCUGCCUCAGCCUCCUGAGUAGCUGGGACUGCAGGUGCCCGCCGCCACACCCAGCUAAUUUUUUGUAUUUUCUUGAAAUGGAAUCUACUCCUGGCAAAGAUGCUGUGAACACUGUUGAGAUGACAGCAAAGGACUCAAAAUAUUAUAUAAACUCAGUUGAAAAAGCAGUAGCUGGAUUUGAGAGGAUUGACUCCAGUUUUGUGAGAAGUUCUACUGUGGGUAAAAUGCUAUCAAACAGCAUUGCAAAUAACAUAGAAAUUUUCUGUGAAGAAAGAGUCAAU